CAACUCCUGGCCCUUCACGGGACACCCCAACAAUCCCACAAUGUGCCCGAGACAUUGUCCAAACACUCUUAACUAUGACAGGCUUGGUGCCGUGACCACUUCCCUGGGUCCUGAUAUCCAACCUAAACGUCCCCUGGCUCAGCCUCAUGACAUUCCCUCAGGUCCUGUCGCUGGUCACCAGAGAGAAGAGAUGGGUGCUGCCCCUCCUCUUCCCCUCCCGAGGAAGUUGGAGACUGGAGUGAGGUCUCCCCUCACUUUCCUCCAGGCUGAACAGACCAAGUGACCUCAGCCGCUCCUCAUAUGGCUUCCCCUCAAGGCCCUUCACCAUCUUCAUAGCCCCUAACUGUUUAAUCAUAAUGGAACAAUUACAGUGUGCCAGCCAUGUGCCUGCUCAUCUUCUCUUGGCUGUGAGCUGAUGCAAACCCAAGUCACUGCCUCAUUUCCCUCACAGGCAGUUGCUGCUGGUGAUCAGCAGCAGCUCUGUGUUAACCUGAAUGUGUCUAUGUUUGCCUUGAGGAUUGUCCCAGUUCAGUUGGCUGCAGGGACCAUCCCUGUGAAGCCACAUGGGUCCAUCCCUCGGAAGAGCAGUUUGGGUGUGUGUUACCUCUGCAAGAGGUAAGAGAGUCACAAAUGCCCAUUACAGGCUUCCCAUCUCCUGCCAGGGAAAGCAGUGCAGGGAAGGUGUAUGGCUUGUGGAAGGGACCACACCUGACAUGUGUAAGACUUCAUUUCCUUGCAGCUGUGGUUUUCAGAGAGUCUGCUGUCAAAACCCAGGCCCCCACAACUCUUACUCAAGGAGUUACUUGAGCAGAGUCACUUGGGCAGUACGAGGUUUUCUCAGGCUGUUUUUGUUGAAUGCCUGAUGGUGGCAGCAACAGAGAUCAUCUUCAUGAAGAAGUGCCAGCUGCCUUCCCGUUUUAGGCCAUGUGCUCUGGAGCAGCACGAGCAGUGUGCACAGCCCAGAAUACUGAAAAUCAGCUUCUAAAAGUCCGUUUUUCUUUUCUUAGCUUCUUUCUGUGUGUUCUUUCAUCUAAAUAGUCAAACUGAGUUGAUCCAAUUUCCCUUCUUAUAGCCAGAGUGACAUGAGAGGGAAGAAAAUGUGGACACCACAGGAUAUGGAUACCCCAGCGUGGGCUCCACCUGCGUAGUAGUAUAACUGCUUCCUGCAUCCAUUGGUUUCCUUGAAUUCAAAUAGACAUCACAGUUGCUUUUGAUUUUGAGGCUGUUCCCUUCAGGCUCAACACCUGCUGUCAGGCUCUGAGUGUGUAUUUGAACAUGUGUGCACAAGUGCAGCGCUGGGUCAGUGAACUACCAGGCUCUAAGUUAAGGAACCUUCUGUACCCCUUGCUUCUCAUUAGUGCUUCAUUAAGGGACACCUGAAGGUCUGUGAGAGAGAAGUUCAGUUUUGUCUCUUGCUGAUAAACUAGGGCUGCUGAAAAGUGCCAGCUGAAUUGGGAGUCUGCUGGGAAGAUCACUGGCUGAACAAGGAGCAUUGGCUGGCUGAGCUACUCAGUUUAAUUGCACAUAUGUUGCCUAAAAUUUAGAGGCAUUCUUGCUUAAAAACCCCUCAAAACCUAAAAGUGGAAGCAAGUAAACUAUUUGUACAUUAGAAAGUAUGUCAGGUAGACUGUGGGUGAGCUGUGCCAUAGUCUGCAGCCUUGGAUUUGGAGAGGAAAGGAGCAAUUAUGGAAAGUCAUGACCACGGCAGAGGUGUUGGAGGUCUUUGUGCCACUGCUGAGGGCUGAAAGUGGAGCAGUGAGCAGUGAAGCUGAGUCGGGACACCUGUGGAGCAGUGACUGUAGGUAGAGAGCAGCAAAACCACCAGCCAUUCCUUGGGCCAUUUCCUUAAAGAGCAGUGCAGGAUGGCGUGUCUGUGUUCAACCCUGCACACCAGGACAUCACUCCGAUGGACAGACGUGCUCACCCAGACGAGUCCCCUGGGGCUGGGCAGCAAAUUGUGUGCCCGGGGGUGGCUGGGCCUCAGUGGUUGCUUUCCCUCAGCUGUGGGAGCUGCAUUGUGGCAGCAAGAAAAGGGUUAUUGCUCGGAUUUCCUGAGGAUGGCUGUCUCAUCCACACAUGAUUAUUCACAACUUCUAAGGUAACGUAUUCUAAACCGAUGUCCUUCCCCCCUCCCCGGAAAGUUAUAUUUGUUUAAAACUCUUUGUUUAAACACUUGGCUUGCAGGUGGGGAAAUAUUGCUCAUGCUUUGUUAUGAAGGCAGUAUAAUUCAGCUUCUCAGGCCUCUGUGCAAAAGCUUGAACUACUGCCAUUUAACAGGAGGGAUUUUCCACUUUGCUUUUUACUGAGCAUCUCUACAGUCUGAAGAUGGACCUUGUCACUGCCAAAGCGCACCUGGUAAAAGCUGAUAUUUUUUCCCUCAGCUCUGGGUCUGGCAUGGGCUAGAGCAGCUGCUAAACCUGGUUCUUCUUGACAUCAGAAGUUCAGAAUAAAUCUCCCGAGUGACACCAUAUGCACUCUUUUUCCAAAUCUUGUUGGUUGUCUCCUUUGCUGUCUUUAAGCCUGAUUCAAAUGGAGACACCUGAAGCUGGGGAAGGACUCUCCAGGGAUUUCAGCAGGCUUUAGGGAGAAGUUGAUGUACAAGGUGGAUAAGACACCUGAAUGGGAGAGGUAAAUGUUAUCUUUGGUUUAGGAUACUUGUGCUUCUCCUUUCCUAUCUGGAAAUAAUUAACUAUGUCUUUCUCGUGAAAAACUUCAAGCUCUGUUGAUACAAAGUACUAGAGAAUGCUUGUGUGUUGUUACCAUUAUUGUUUUGUGAGAGAUUUUUAAAGAGAUCUUUGAAAGAUCAUCAUUAACACAACAAAAUAUUGGAGGAAAAGUAGCUCCUUUAUCUCCAACCUUGAUGAAAGGGGUAAGCAAAUCCCCAAUCAGAUCUGCUGCUAUGGGUCACUGAAUGGCAGAGUCUGUGCAGAGUAUGGGAUGCAUCUGUCUGCUUGUUUAAAAAAUUAAAAUCCACUCAUCUUCUAGAAGGUUAUUUUAUCCCUGUGCUCAAGUGCUGUAACAAUCAUUUGUGAUCUACCUCGAGGAAACACACAACUGAAAAACAGGUUUGGAAAUGGAAAGAAACAACAGAGGGAUAAACAAUUUUUAUCUAAACCAAAGCAAAAAGUUUUCCUUAGACAACACGAUGCAUCACCCCGUGGCUGUUGGUAGAUGGCAGCCUCUGUCCUUGCACACAGAGGCGCUGGAAAAUAUUCCAGCUGCCUGCAAAUGCUCUCACAGGCCUGUGUGCUCCCACCUGCUGAUACCAAAGCUCAGCAGGAGGAGAAAGAAUUUGCCCGUUUGUGGCAAUAAGUUUCAGAAGCAAUUCCAAACACAAUGCAGCUUAGAGCUAAUCAUGAACGGGCUUGACUGCGUUAAUUGAGUGUGUUAUAGCAUGGAUUUAGGAGAUAGCUGCUGUUAGGGUAUGUUUCCAGUUGAUAAGUAUAGGCAAAAGCCUUGCUGACAUCUGGUUCACCGGGGGUCUUAUCCUGGCAUUUCAAGCAGGCUGUGCUGAGGCCAAGUGGUUUUUCUCUGGUGGCAGGAUAAAACUGGGUGUGUUGCUGCUGUGUUUCUGGCUGGAGCUGUGCGAGCCCACCCUGCUGAUGACUCAUCCUUCGAGUGGCUCAGAAUAUCACACUGCCUCGCUGCCUCCCUGUUCCUAUUGCACUGAUGCAUUUGGGUCUCGCACGGUGUUGGCGUUUCGUUUACAAACCUCUCUUUUCCCAUAAAGGAAAGAUGGCUGCCAGCCCUUCUUUAUCCUGAUGUUCAGCACUUUUAGGUGUUUUUCUGAGCCUUUCCUGAAUGACUUCAGAUGGAGAUUUAAAAGCAGAACAACCAGACACAUUAAGCACCUUAGAAAGCACAUUUUUCAGAAUUUAAUUGGGGUUUUUUUGGUAGCUUGUCUUUUUUUUUUUUCCCUUCUAAAAUUGGCUGCUUCUGCACAUGAUUCAGACUAAAUUUUCCCUUUUCUCCCAACAAGCACUGAAUCAGGAGCUUUAGGCCAGCAAAAGGGACCUGUGUUCCUUCCCUGCCACCCUGUUUUUGAGUCCAUGCAUUUCAGCACUGGAGUUUAUAACAGUGAAUGGAAUAAGAUAAGCACUGAAACAGAUUUACAGGUCUCCUGUUUCCCUCUCCCUCACUCACAGAAAACCUGAUGGUUCCACUAAAUCAGGUGUGGACAUGCCUUGAAGUUAAAGCAUUGUCACAAAAGAAAAUGGAUAUGAAUAAAUCUACCUCUUCCUAAUUUUUUUUUUUUGGUUGGUUUUGUGAACCAGAUGUUCCAGGUGACACAAAAAUGAAGACACCAACAGCUAUAAAGAAGUCAUGAGAGCAGUGCAGGUCAGUGCUGGUGAACACACCUCCUUCCAUGUCCUGGUUGCACCACAUCGGCUCGGAUUUACUAGAAACGAGUUUCAUUUUGUUAAGUAACAUAAGAAUCACGAAGAAAACCCUCUCCAUUGUUCUUACCAAUAAACACAGGGUCAGAAUCGCUGCUCUUAGUGUAACUGAGACAAACAUAUUAUUGCAGAACCCCAGCAGUCUGGGAGCAGAGCUCAGCCUUCCACUCCCUGCACUCAGCCACAUUUAAGUUCUGUGACUCCAUUUCAAUGCAAAGUCACCCAGCUGAGUAGAAAUAACCCCUGUGGCAGCAGCACACACAGAGCUCGAUUGCUGCCCCUGUUUCUGUGUAACUGUGCCUUUUGGUUGCCAGGAUCAUGGAGAACUGUGGAGCUGCACCGUUCAUGAGCACUGGGUAGCUCCGUGGGAUUCUCGAACUCCAGAGAGACCUGUCAUAACUCUUUCGAUAAAUAUAUUUACUUUUUCAAGAAGUAAAUAUUUGAAAGCAUACAGGACAACAUCGGCAUGCUGGAGUCAUACUUUUGUCCCAGGGGGUGACACUGCAGAUGGCUCUGUGCAUCUAGAGGUACACAGAGAUAUCAGAUAAAAGAGGAGCAGUAGAGCUGUCAGGGGCACGUGCUGAAUUCCAACUGCAGCUCAAACUUGAGGCCUGCAAGAUCUGCUGUCUUCAUUUAGGCACCUCUGUAAAAGUUACUCACCAAACACAGUCACUGCUCCCUGUGGAGUCUCCCAUGAAGGUAAAUCCCUCCCCACUGAGCAGCCUCAUCCCGAGAUGUGGCAGACACAGUGAUGCCCCAUUGCUGUCAGCAGAAGUUGAACUUGCUGCUGCAGUGAGCGGUGCUCCACAAAAUGGGCACUUAGACACGUGCCUUCAUUUUUCCUAUGGAAAGAGGAGUUUCUUGUAGCAGUUAAAAACAUUCUGUAUAAUAAAAAUUGUCUUCCAGUAUCA